GACAGAGGGUGCAAACGUUGCUCGGAAUCACUGGGCGUAAAGGGCGCGUAGGCGGGAAUGUAAGUCGGGCGUGAAAUCCCCAGGCUCAACCUGGGAACUGCACUCGAAACUGCGUUUCUUGAGUAUCGGAGAGGAAAGCGGAAUUCCUGGUGUAGAGGUGAAAUUCGUAGAUAUCAGGAGGAACACCAGUGGCGAAGGCGGCUUUCUGGACGGUAACUGACGCUGAGGCGGCGAAAAGCGUUGGGGAGCAAACAGGG
rnacentral:rRNA from 1 species